GUCUGACUGAAUCAGCAAAGUAACCAGUUUACAAUGGAGGCCCAUGGAGAAAAGCUUUAAACAUGAAUAUGAAAGACAAAGUACACAAAAUUGAAAAAAUUGACAAUACUUUCCUAGCAAGCUAGCCUUCUAAUACAAAAUAAGCUGACUACAUGAGGAAAGAUAUUCACAGCUACAAGCAUCAAGACUGGCACCUAUUCCACCAGUAAGGCAUGUCAGUCCACCACCAGUGACAACUAUACUACCACUCCUGACUCCAUCAGUUUCAGUGUCUCAGGCUGCUGCCAUAGCCACAGCUCUAGAAGCACCUACCUACUGCAGGCACUGUUACCAGCCCUGCAUCAAAAAGUUCUGUUGUGUAAACUGCAAGUGGCAGUGAAAGUGGAGGCAGCAUCCAUGUCAAAUGGUAGCAUCUGGAGGAAAUGGUGCUGGGACUUAGUGUGACUCACAAUCAAACCGAGAGAGGAAUGGAGAUGUCAACCCUGGUAGUUCGGUGCGUAAUGGCCGACGGAAUAUGUCCCCAUAUUUCACCGGGUUUGGACAUGAAUUGGAUCGUUGCAUGAAUUUGAAUUUUGAUGACUGGCUCACAUGAGCUUCCCAAAUGUGGAGAAUAGUUUGUACAGUUCUACUUGAAAUAAUAUAACAUACAAGGACAAAUGUAAGAUUCUCAAAAAUAAAAUGCUUAAGUAUAAUAACUUA